rnacentral:misc_RNA from 1 species
AAGGAUCAUUACCGAAGUACAGGCCCUCUCGAGGGCUAAACUUCCACCCUUUGUAAACUAUACCUUAUGUUGCUUUGGCGGACCGCCCUAGGCCACCGGCUUCGGCUGGUGAGCGUCCGCCAGAGACCCUCAAACCCAAACCCAUAUUAGUGUCGUCUGAAAACAAGUUUAAAUUAUUAAAACUUUCAACAACGGAUCUCUUGGCUCUG